rnacentral:lncRNA from 1 species
CAGCUGCCUCCACUUCCUACAGGCCUUCCUGGAAUCCCGGCCAUUCCCGGGGUUCCCGGAAUUCCUUCUGUCCCGAAGGUCCCGGAGCUGCCUGCGGUCACCGCUCUCCCGAUUCCAAACAUCCCCAAAAUUCCCGGAGUCCCUGGAAACUAAUCAAGAUGGUGCUGACCAGGAUUUCGGGUUCCGGUGAUUGGAGAUGUACGUAGACGUACGAGUUAAUGUGUUGUUUGUACUUGAAGAACUUGUACUCUAUCAUGUAUUGUAUCGUACCGGCCGGUUGUGGUUUUCUACACCUUGAUGUAUGAAGUGACCGGUUAUCAACUAUCUAUUUCUAUUUAAUUAUACAAAAAAGCUACCUAUUUACAUAUUCAUGUACUCUUCUUUUUUUAGGGUAUUUUCUAGUUUAAUUUCAUUUACUGGUAAGAUUCACAUUAAUUUCGGUUUUGGUUUGGAGCAAACUUAGCUUCAUCCGAGUCGGUUAAUCUAGCUUCAAGGUGCCCAAAAGCUCGAACUAGGAAGCACCGGGACAUGCAUCCCUUGGUUAAAUGUGGAGAUUCGGGCUUUUAGUCUUUUUGGGUAAUUUAGGGGGGGGGGGGGGGGUGGAGAGGGGGACGGAGGGGGGGGGGAAAUUCAGACAAUUUGAGGUCCGGUCAUGAACGUCCCUUCUCCAGUCUUGAGCAUUGAAAUAGAGUUAGUAUUUUUCGAAUUCUACUCGGUACGUUUUUUCAGUUCAACUAUAUAUGUGCCCGGUCAUGUCGAACUAAACUAAGGGGAGUCUCAAAUACCUCAACCUUCCGCAACACUAAGUACUAAACCAUAGGGAAAUUUGAGUUCCAAACCUUCUGGCCUACCAUCGCACCAAAUACUAUCCUAGAGAAAGGUUGAUUUUUUUAUAACUUGACUCAGAGGCUCAAUAAUAUUUAAAAUUUUGCUCUCUUCUUUGAUUAAAAUUAAAUAUAACUUUUGUAUUACCAUUUAAAUUGGGCUCGGAUUCGUCAAAUUAACCAUAAGACAUCCACGAUCUCCAAUGAAUUAACCGGGUCGGACAAAGCCGGGUUCCCGUUUCCAGCCUAACAGAGCAUGUGUACGUACAGAGUAGCUAGCCAUGCAAGGUGUGUAGAUAACACGUACACGUACGUCCAAUCAACUUGUGGUUGCCCAGCCAAUAAUACAAAAUUUUCAAAUCGACAAAUAUUUGAAAUACAUUUUUGAAAUGAAAGAUCAGGCAGAAAAUCUUACCCCUAUAAAAAGAAAUCACAUAAUAGUAUUGGUAUUGGGUAAACCGGCUCUAUUAUUAUUAUUAUUAUUAUUAUUAUUAUUAUGUGGUGGGGAAUUACACGACAUCGGUUAAAAAAAUACAAACUAACACAAGCUGGAGCAUACAUACAAUGACAAAAGAUACCAUGUGGUUGUGUGGUUCAAUCAACAUUUCAUUCUGUAGACAUGGACAAACGAAAUCAAUACGACCCAUGUGAAUCCUCACCGAGUUCAAAAUUCUCUCUCAAAUGACAACAAGCAAAUUGGGAAGACUGCUUUUAUGAAUUUUACGAGAUUUUGUUACCCUUAUUUAUACAAAACGAGUUGACAAAAAUUAGUAAUUAACCAGUCUCAUCAGAUAUUGAAUGUGAUUGGACUACUUAGUAGUGUCACCCUUCUAGCUAGGCACCUCAUACUAUAACAUGUUGUUAACUGCCAAAAGUCUCCUCAUACGUCUAUAUGGCCUUCUUCCAUCUGCGUUGUAGGACUUACGUAACACCAACUUUCUUUGGAUAUGUAUGUACAAGUUUGGACCAAUCGAAAUUGCACGUACACAGAUUUUGAACAAGAUUAAUUAGAGCUCAUCAAAGAGAAUAGCCUCGUAGUUGAAGUGGCUGUGAUUUUAACCUUACGAACUAACACAUGAGCUGCACCGUUCAACUUUCUUUCGAUGAUAACUAUCUUACAAGUCAUAGUACUCAAUUACUAUUUGAACCCUAUGGUUCAUCUAAACUAAGUAAGAGAAGUUUAGUCGCUCAUAAUCUCGAUAAACAAUCAAAAUUAGAAGAGAAAGACAUUGAUUCUAGGUUUACACAAAGAAUUAUGAAAAAACCUAAUUUCACCGAUCUUCCCGAAGAACUUGAUUCGUCAUCUUGAUUACUUCGCCGAUUCCGAACUCCUUGAAGUUGCCCUUAGUUGCUCUCGAAUCUCUCUCUAAAGCUCUUAAUUUCGUCCACGAGCGUCUGUCUUCAAAUGAGGGGAAACUGGUUUUAAAUAGGUCUUCUGGCAAAUCCUUUUAGUUGCGGAAUGUCAACAUUAGCGCUAUGGCCUUGUGUCAAUAUUGGCGCUAUGGCCAUAGCGCCAACUUUGACAUUUGAUAGUAUCAAUUUUAACUCGAGAUGAUUAGAAAGGGACGUCAACAUUGACGCUAUGAAUGCUCAUUUUUGGCGCUAUGUGCAUAGCGCCAACUUUGGUUGUUUAUAGCGCCAAUCUAGACAACGUGCACCCUUGUGAUUUCUUUACUUCUCGACCUGUCCCAACUCGUCCAUGCAUGCCUAUAUUGCUCCGAAUAGUGUCCUGAUAUUGUCAUGUACCUGAAAUCUUAUAAAAACACUCCAAAACGACAUCAAAAGCACCCCGAAAGAGUCCGAGACACUAAAUCGAAUCGGAAGAUAAAAAUGUACAAAAUAUCUUAAAAUUCUACCCAAAAUUAUAAAUCAAAUAUUAUCAACCACCUUAUAAAAAUAAUGAAAAAAAUGUUUAUCGUCUCAAAAUUCUGUCGAAUAGCGAGACCACCAAUAUUAUCCCACCACAUUUUGGAAACCUCAUGUCCACAUACACACAAAUCAUUGUUAACCAAAUACCACAAAUGACCCUAUCCCUAUCUCCCCCCCUACUAUCAUACUCAUCUCAGCUCCCUCUAUAAAUACAAACCUCCAACAAAACCCAUUUGCAAACCAAAACCCAAAACCAAGUUGCCAAAUUACAAAUCACUCCUCAAAAACCAUGGCUACUCCAUCCAAGUCCUCCAUCUUCCUCCUCUUUUCCGUAUUCGUUGCCAUCUCCUUUUCCAACGUCCAAGUUGGCACCUCCGCUCGCCUCCUCCUCCAGCUACCGAAUAUCCCUGUUGUCGGCGGUGGCCUUCCGAUGCCCCAGCUGCCUCCACUUCCUACUACCGGCGGCAUCAUCCCCACUGUUCCUGGAAUCCCAACCAUUCCCACUAUUCCAACUAUCCCCGCUGUUCCUGGAAUCCCUGCGGUGCCGAAUGUCCCAGUCCCGCCUGUCACCGGAGCCGUUGCCGGCGUCCCCAUUCCUAACCUCCCGGUGCCCUGAAACUAGGCGGUGGACGCAAAUGAGUUGAUGUGUUGUCAUCUCUGUGUUGUUUUGUACUUUGUACUGCAGCUGUGUCGUGUAUUGUUGUAUCCGACCUCGUUUCUUCCCUGUAUUCCACGUGUGACUUUAUUGUAAUUUUAUCCACCAUGGUUAUUAACUAUUUAUACUCUUUACAUUUCUGUCAUGUCAAGGAAACAUAUUCAUCCUUAUGUGUAAAUUUGGAUAUUCAUAGACUCUCAAACGAGGAUGUCGUCCCUA